UACGGGGGGCGCAAGCGUUGUUCGGAUUUACUGGGCGUAAAGGGCGCGUAGGCGGCCCUGCAAGUCAGUUGUGAAAUCUCCGGGCUUAACCCGGAAAGGUCAACUGAUACUGCAGGGCUAGAGUGCAGAAGGGGCAACUGGAAUUCUCGGUGUAGCGGUGAAAUGCGUAGAUAUCGAGAGGAACACCUGCGGCGAAGGCGGGUUGCUGGGCUGACACUGACGCUGAGGCGCGAAAGCCAGGGGAGCGAACGGG
rnacentral:rRNA from 1 species